rnacentral:rRNA from 1 species
CUCAAAUUUGAAAUCUGGCUUCGGCCCGAGUUGUAAUUUGCAGAGGAUGCUUUUGGUGCGGUGCCUUCCGAGUUCCCUGGAACGGGACGCCACAGAGGGUGAGAGCCCCGUAUGGUCGGACACCAAUCCUGUGUAAAGCUCCUUCGACGAGUCGAGUAGUUUGGGAAUGCUGCUCUAAAUGGGAGGUAAAUCUCUUCUAAAGCUAAAUACCGGCCAGAGACCGAUAGCGCACAAGUAGAGUGAUCGAAAGAUGAAAAGCACCUUGAAAAGGGGGUUAAACAGUACGUGAAAUUGUUGAAAGGGAAGCACUUGUGACCAGACUUGGGCCGGGCGGCUCAUCAGGGGUUCUCCCCUGUGCAUUCCGCCCGGUACAGGCCAGCAUCGGUUCUUACCGGGGGAUAAGAACGGCAGGAACGUGGCUCCCUCUCGGGGGAGUGUUAUAGCCUGCCGUACGAUACCCUGGCGGGGACCGAGGUUCGCGCUUCCGCAAGGAUGCUGGCGUAAUGGUUACUAGUGACCCGUCUUGAAACACGGACCAAGGAGUCGUCCAUUAGAGCGAGCGUUUGGGUGUAAAACCCGCACGCGUAAUGAAAGUGAAAUUAGGUGAGAGCUUCGGCGCAUCAUCGACCGAUCCUGAUGUUCUCGGAUGGAUUUGAGUAAGAGUUUUAACGGACGGACCCGAAAGACAGUGAACUAUGCUUGUAUAGGGUGAAGCCAGAGGAAACUCUGGUGGAGGCUCGCAGCGGUUCUG